CUCGUAGGCGGCCAACUAAGUCAGACGUGAAAUCCCUCGGCUUAACCGGGGAACUGCGCCUGAUACUGGAUGGCUUGAGGUUGGGAGAGGGAUGCGGAAUUCCAGGUGUAGCGGUGAAAUGCGUAGAUAUCUGGAGGGACACCGGUGGCGAAGGCGGCAUCCUGGACCAAAUCUGACGCUGAGGAGCGAAAGCCAGGGGAGCAAACG
rnacentral:rRNA from 1 species